rnacentral:lncRNA from 1 species
AAUUUAGAAAAUGGCUGUACUACAUGAAUAGAGAUACAUCGAAGAGAAACCAUCUUGUUAAAAUGAAUACUAAUACUUCAGGUUAUUUCUUUCGGGUUGAAAAAUCCAAAAUAAAAAUGUAUAUGCAGUCGGUAAAUAUUUUAAAAUUGAAUUGAUAUUCGAACCCUUCAAAACAGAACAAAAUUACCCCUUUUUGUAAUUGAUUGUUCCAAAAUAAAUCAAAACUAUAUGCAUGUAAAAGUAUAUGUGCAUUUGCAUAAGGUCGAUUUCUAUCCGACGCAGCUCAAUAUUUGAUUCAUCUGAAAUGUUAGGACAUCACCAUUAAAACAGAAAAAAAAAACAAUAGCACAACUCAACAAUAAAACUUAAGGAUGUACUUAGGUGAGGUUAGGUGAAAAUUAAUAAAUUAAGAAGUUAAAAUUGAUACUAUAAGCUGGUAGAACAUCAAUUAAGGACAAAAAUAAGCUAAAAAUAUUGAUAGGUCAUGGACCUCCUUUUUGAGAUAUUUGAGAUUUAAAAAAUGGCGGGAAAAGGCUGACUCUGACUUUUACCUUAUAUUUGAAUUGGUAUUAUUAGGUCUAAAAACAAAAGAAAGAAAAUUAAGAAUCUUCUAAAAUUUUGGUAAAUGACCUUUCAUGAGCUAUUAAGUCUUAUAUGAAAAAAUAAAUGGGUGUUAUGGGGCGAAAUUUUUUACAUUGUAUUGUAUGGAAAAACACCAAGGCGUCCGAACAUUUGACACAAAUUCCAAAACCUCACCUAAGUACAUCCUUAAUUCAAAAUUUCUUUCAUUUUCUCCCAAAAUACAACAUUUCCCUGUUCAUCAUUUGGGUAUUCGAUAUAGGAAUCGUUUUGAACAUGUUCAAGCAUAAUAAGAGGAAGAUCUUUUGAUCGAAAUUGGUCUAAGAAUACUAAAAACAAUAUGUUUUCUUUACUUCUGGAAUAAAUACUUUCCAUUCUCGCCAUGUUAAAUUCAAACAUGCAAUAGUAUGAAUCCAGAAAAGACUUUGUUAUGAUACACACUACCUUUCUACUUUCGUGUAUAGAAUUAGUUAUAUUAUACGUAAUCUCGUUUCCGGGCAAAAAAUCACGUUUAUGGAUGCAUAGUUUUGCAUUGCCUCCUUCUUCUAGAUUCGGUAUACACUCUCUUACAAUAAAAUUUUGUUCAUUGUCGGCAUAGGAUAUGAAAGCAUCGUAUAUGUAUUCCUGUUCAUCAGUUUGGGCGAUAUUGUCUCGUUUAUAUUUACUCUUUAUCAUGUAGUAUGCAUAUCGCAAUCUCCAUCUAUAUCUAUAUACAAUUCCAAUUAUCGCGAUAACUAACAUUGACGUAAUCGAAAUAGCAAUGCAAAUUAUCAGAACGAGGCGUGAUGCACAAUUCCCUUUCAGUUGCAACAUUGUACUUCUAAAGUCUGUCAAACAAAUACUUGUUUCAUUUGCGAAUUUACAUUUCGUCUCAUUUUUUGCGGAAAAAUAGUCCUGUUUGUCAAGUAACCAUUCAAUGAAUGAAAUAGCAUCACAGCUGCAUUGUAAGAUAUUUCCUCCAAGGUUUAUUUUUACAUUCGACAAACCAAACAGGACGUCUAAUUUCUUCAUAGACUUUUCGCUAAACUUUUGUAUUCGAUUAUUCGAUAAAUCAAG